GGAGGCAUAGCUCAGUGGUGGAGCAUUCGACUGCAGAUUGAGAGGUCCCCGCUUCGGACCCGAGUGUCUCGU
rnacentral:tRNA from 1 species